rfam:Tupaia chinensis contig216745, whole genome shotgun sequence.
AUCGCUUCUUGGCCUUUUGGUUAAAAUCAAGUGUAGUAUCUGUUCUUAUCAGUUCAGUAUUUGAUACGCUCUCUGAGGAUAACACGUUAAAUGGGUUUUGGGGACUUGGAGACGGAGUAGGAGCUUGCUCUAUCCACUCCACUCCACGCAUCGGUCUGGUAUUGCAGUACUUCCAGGAACGGUGCAUCCCCU